rnacentral:rRNA from 1 species
GACGAACGCUGGCGGCGUGCUUAACACAUGCAAGUCGAACGAGAUCCAAUGUGUAGCAAUACACAGGAAGAUCUAGUGGCGAACGGGUGAGGAACACGUGAGAAACGUACCCCAUACUUUGGGAUAACAGUCCGAAAUGACUGCUAAUACCAAAUAACGUCGGAAGUCCGCAUGGACAUCUGACGAAAGGGAUUCAGGUGUUGGAGCGUCUCGCGGACCUUUCAGCUAGUUGGCGGGGUAACGGCCCACCAAGGCAACGACGGGUAGCCGGUCUGAGAGAAUGGUCAGACACACUGGGGCUGAGCCGCGGCCCAGACUCCUGCGGGAGGCAGCAGUGGGUAAUCUAGCGAAGUGGGGGAAAGCCUGACGGAGCAAGGCCGCGUGAGGGAAGAAGGCUUGGAAGAUGUAAACGGCUUUAAGAAGGAACGAAACUGACGGUACCUACAGAAGAAGGAGCGGCUAACUAUGUG